UACAGAGGGGGCAAGCGUUGUUCGGAAUUACUGGGCGUAAAGGGCGCGUAGGCGGCCAACUAAGUCAGACGUGAAAUCCCCAGGCUCAACCUGGGAACUGCGUCUGAUACUGGAUGGCUCGAGUUCGGGAGAGGGAAGUGGAAUUCCAGGUGUAGCGGUGAAAUGCGUAGAUAUCUGGAGGAACAUCAGUGGCGAAGGCGACACCCUGGACUCAUACUGACACUGAGGUGCGAAAGCGUGGGGAGCAAACAGG
rnacentral:rRNA from 1 species